AACGUAGGAGACGAACGUUAUCCGGAGUUACUGGGCGUAAAGGGCGUGUAGGCGGUUUGUUAAGUCUGGCGUGAAAGCUCUCGGCUAAACCGGGAGAGGUCGUUGGAUACUGGCGAACUAGAGGAUGGUAGAGGCGUGUGGAAUUCCGGGUGUAGUGGUGAAAUGCGUAGAGAUCCGGAGGAACACCAGUGGCGAAGGCGACACGCUGGGCCAUACCUGACGCUGAGGCGCGAAAGCGUGGGGAGCGAACGGG
rnacentral:rRNA from 1 species